GCGCCCGUAGCUCAACUGGAUAGAGUGCCUGACUACGAAUCAGGAGGUUGGGAGUUCGAGUCUUCCCGGGCGCGCCA
rnacentral:tRNA from 1 species